UCUGGUGAUUAUGGCUUGAAGGUAACACCCGUUUCCAUACCGAACACGAUGGUUAAGCUUCAAAGCGCUGAUGGUACUGCAGGGGAGGCUCUGUGGGAGAGUAAGUCGUUGCCAGGU
rfam:Clostridium tetanomorphum DSM 665 contig15, whole genome shotgun sequence.